rnacentral:rRNA from 1 species
UCGGGAAUUUUGGACAAUGGGCGAAAGCCUGAUCCAGCCAUGCCGCGUGAGUGACGAAGGCCUUAGGGUUGUAAAACUCUUUCGUCGGGGACGAUAAUGACGGUACCCGAAGAAGAAGCUCCGGCUAACUUCGUGCCAGCAGCCGCGGUAAUACGAAGGGAGCUAGCGUUGUUCGGAAUCACUGGGCGUAAAGCGCACGUAGGCGGAUAGUUAAGUCAGGGGUGAAAUCCUGGGGCUCAACCCCAGAACUGCCUUUGAUACUGGCUGUCUCGAGGUCGAGAGAGGUUGGUGGAAUUCCUAGUGUAGAGGUGAAAUUCGUAGAUAUUAGGAAGAACACCAGUGGCGAAGGCGGCCAACUGGCUCGAUACUGACGCUGAGGCGCGAAAGCGUGGGGAGCAAACAGGAUUAGAUACCCAAGUAGUCCCUGAGCGGGCUGGCAAGGCGCAU